GCAAAACGCACAUUUGGAACUGUUUGUAGAUGGCUCUGCUCAGCGUUCUGAGAAAGGAGAACCAUUGGUUGCGUAUGCGGUUACUACUGCCUCAACCACACUGGAAAGUGCUAAAUUACCCUCCCACCUUUCUGCUUAAGCAGCAGAACUCUUUGCACUCACUAGAGCUUGCAUAUUAGCUAAAGGCCAGUCUGCUACAAUCUAUACAGAUAGCAGAUAUGCCUUUGGUGUGGUACAUGAUUUUGGUACUCUGUGGAAACAGCGCGGCUUCCUGACCUCCUCUGGUCCUGUUGAGUUGAGGAAGUGGAAACGACUAUGUACAUAUGACCAGGUGCAGAAACUCUGGCUGGGCCCGGCUGGGCUACCAGUCUUACCACGUUCAUGUUUCCCCUACUUAGGUAAGUUGUCACAUGGAAGGUAUCAUGUGUCAAAGGGGGGAGUUGUUGAUUUUGUAAAUACAUUUUGGUUUGCACCUGGGUUUUCUGUGUUUGCUGAACAAUUUUGUGCAAAAUGUGUGAUUUAUAUGACUAACAACAUAAGAAGAGGGAUUUCCCAUGCCACUGUCGGCUCAUCCGACCCCUGAAGGACCCUUUGAACACAUAAUGAUGGAUUUGAUUGAACUCUCUCCUUGUCAAGGUUACAAAUAUUGUCUGGUGAUAGUGGAUGCUUUCUCCAAGUGGGUAGAAGCAUUCCCAUGUCGACAUUCCACUGCUAUGGCAGUAGCCAAGAAUCUCCUUAGGGAGAUCAUCCCAAGGUGGGGGUUACCAUCUAAAUUAACCAGCGACAAUGGCUCCCACUUUGUAAACCUGGUGAUACAGAACUUGUCUGAGAGUCUGCAGAUAGACCUCAGGACCCAUUGUAGCUAUAGGCCGCAAUCUGGUCGUUUAAUUGAACGCGCUAAUCAAACCCUGAAAUCUAAGAUGGUGAAGCUUAUGGCAGAGACGGGGCUUUCUUGGGUCACUGUGAUCCCCCUGGCUCUGAUGUACAUGCGAGGGAGGCCCCACAGAACCACUGGACUGGCUCCUCAUGAGGUUCUGACAGGUAGACCAAUGAGGAUGAUUAAUUCUCCCUUCGCACAGAACAAGCUGACACUGAUGGGCUGUGACGAUGACAUGGUAAGUUAUUGUACUGCUCUAAACAAUUUUCUGAAGGCUAUUUUCCCCAGGGUGAAAGCGGCUCUACCCCAGCCACUGGUGGGGAUUCUGCACAAACUGCAACCAGGUGACUGGGUGGUGGUGAAAGACCUGAGACGAAAGCAUUGGAACCAGCAGAGGUGGACUGGACCAUACCAGGUGAUGCUGAUUACCCCCACUGCUGUUCGCGUAGCUGAGAGGUCUACUUGGAUCCACGCCAAUCACUGCAGGAAGGUGCCAUACUGCCCACCAGACCCUGAGGAUGGAGGACCAGAGACGCCGGAAGUCACCGACUAGAGGGGAGGAUCAGGCCCAUACUCUACGCAUCAUGUUUCUUGCUCUGGCCUUGAGCCUUUUCAUUACAUUUGCCAUAUGGACAGUGACUCAAGGACAACCGGUCCUGGAAAGACAACAUGGUACGGACUCGACUGAUAACCAUUCAGUCCCACUGCGGGACUUAAAUAACAGCCACUCCAGCUCGAGCCAACGGCAAACAAUAGCCGCUCCCAUAUCGAAAGAAGAAGAAGAUCAAUGCAUCCACUGGAUGAGCAUCACAGUAUGAAUCACGAGGGAAACACUUGGUGGUCACUGCUUAACUAUACAGUAAAGACUGAACUGAUGUUAGGAAAUACCUCAUGUUAUGUAUGUAGCUUGUUUCCACAUUCAGCGAUCUCCCCAUUCUUACAGUAUUCAGAAGAGGGCAGCAUUAAUGACACUCUAUGUGCACUAGAGGUGCUCUUGUCCAAUGAGAACACAGGGGGUCAACCUUCACUAGGUAGAACACUGAGGGAUAAAUGCAUUAAUGGUAAUUUGUCAUCAACAAAAGAUUUACCGGGGGGAUUUGAUUGUUCACAUUGGUGUAGUAGAAUCAUCUUAGAACCUAGAUCCCAUGUACCAGAACCUAUUCAAGUCCAACCCCGGCGAACCCCAUUUAGGACCUGUCAUUGUCACAAUCCAAGCAAUAUUUCCAUACCACAAUUGAAUAUAUCCUAUCUGGGAAUGUCAACAUGUGUCAAUUAUAGUGUUUUCCUAAUAGGAUGUAGCUGGAAGAAGGGAACAUGCAGCUCUGGAUACCCCAUUAGACUGAGGGUGGGACACACCAUUAUUGAUGCUGAAACUGACGAGUGUUCUCCUCAUCAAUUUGGCUCGGCAACAUUUACUGAUCAUUACUGGAUUUGUGGUGAUAAAGCUUAUCUCUACCUACCCACAAAUUGGACAGGGUGCUGUAUUUUUGGUAAACUAAACAUCUCCCUUGUGGUAAUGCAUAAAACGAAUUCCUCUAUUCCAAGCAGGUUAAGACUAAUUAAGAGGGACAUCUCGCAAUACAAUAAUGUCCCUAGUGACUCUCGGCGAUCCUCGAAAUUGGAAAAGUUCUGGCGUGGUUUAAUCCCCUGGUAUGGGGCAUCGGAGAAUGCACAUGAGUUGGAUAGGCUAGGAUAUCAUUUGGAAUCCCUGGUAAAUUUGACCACUGCAGGGUUUUCUAUGAUAAGACCAGAAUUACAAGCCACUCACAAAAUAGGGUGGCACUUGACAUGUUUCUAGCACGUGAAGGAGGGGUGUGUCAAAUUAUAGGAGAUCACUGUUGUACAUUUAUACCCCAGGGAGAUGACAAUUUGACUAUUGUAGUGGAACAUUUGAAAGAGCUUAGGGGUGUUCUCGAAAGGGAACACCAGCCUGACAUCAACUGGAAUCCGUUAGGAUGGGUUCAGUCAGUGUUUGGUGCUUGGGCUGCGACCAUUUUCCACUGGUUCAUCUAUGGUCUCAUAUUACUGAUUGCUCUGUUGCUCAUUAUCAUUUGUGUGAAGAAAUUGUUUAAUAAAGUGGUUGAUGUUGUUCUUACUAUGCCCUUGCUUGCAAAUGAAGUAGGUGUAGAUGAGGAAUCUGAGAUUGAUGGACAACAAUCAGGUGAACACAGUGAAAUAUUCUCACUGGACAGUGUAGAAAGAGAGGGUUCACUGUAUAUGAAUGAUUUCCCUGACCCAUUCCCUAUUCCUGACUAUAUCUCUGAUAGUGGGGAACCCAAUUCUAAGCAUGAGGACUUAGAGGGAUGACUGUCCUGUAGGCUGUAAUGAGGCCUGUGUUUAGACACUGGUUCUCUUGUAAUUUUGGGAGCAUUUAUGUUUUGUUAUUUUUAUUUUUUACUCAACAAAUGUAUUAUUCUGUAUGAUUAAACAGGUGCAAGUCUGUAUUAUGGUAUAAACAUUGUAAACUCAGUUUCUGAAGGGUGAAUACUUACAUUGAAGGGAUUUGAUUCUUUAUUAUCUUUAAAUUUUGAUUAUGGAUUUUUUAAUUGUAUUAUAUACUGCAACUACUGUUAGUAAGGUGCCAUGUUACUAUUCUGAUUCUUCAUAAGGGACUUAGUCCCUUGAGAGGGGCAUGUUGGGGAUUAAUCAGAAUUAGUUGGGUAACAUAGAUAAGAUGUUUUAUUUUCAUGAUAUGCUUAUGAGUUAUUUCUCAUAAGAAUGUAUUUUGUUAUACUAUAGUGGUGGCCAUUUGCAAUUAUCUGUUCUCUGUCAGGACUAAGUUGCUUGGGCCGCAGAGAGGGGAGAGGUCAAGGUGUCAUCAUGUGUAAACAUAUAUUUUAAACCAUGUGAAGGGAUGAUUGAUGGGGAACCAAUUAUCUCUUGGCUCCACUGUGUCUGUGUGCCAGUCACUCCCUAUUUUUCCCAUCGGGGAGAGGAGGAUGGCAGUGUCUGGAACCAUUCUAUGUUCUCUCUCUCGUUGCCCCUAUCUUGACAUAAAGGCUCACUUUCCUCUCCGUGAGCUUGUCCAGAAUUGGUUGUAUUUAGGAUGGGGUAUCUAAAAUGACAAUUUGAUAUAUAUCAUUGGGUGGGGGUAAUGUCUUGGUACCAUUUUUGCUCUCUCAUCAUUUGGUAAUUAAGGAAAUUUCCACGACAGUAGGUGACCAAAUACUUAUUUUCCACCAUAAUUUGCAAAUUAAUUCAUCAAAAAUCCUACAAUGUGAUUUUCUGGAUUUUUUUUUCUCAUUUUGUCUGUCAUAGUGUAAGUGUACCUAUGAUGAAAAUUACAGGCCUCGCUCUCAUCUUUUUAAGUGGGAGAACAUGAACAAUUGGUGCCUGACUAAAUACUUUUUUGCCCCACUGUAUUUGUUUGGGUAAAAUGAACAUUUUUAUUUUAUUCUAUAAACUACUGACAACAUUUCUCCCAAAUUCCAGAUAAAAAUAUUGUCAUUUAGAGCAUUUAUUUGCAGAAAAUGACAAUUGGUCAAAAUAACAAAAAGGAUGCAGUGUUGUAAGACCUCGAAUAAUGCAAAGGAAAUAAGUUCAUAUUAAUUUUUAAACAACACAAUACUAAUGUUUCAACUUUGGGGCGACAGGGUAGCCUAGUGGUUAGAGCGUUGGACUAGUAACCAGAAGGUUGCAAGUUCAAACCCCCAAGCUGACAAGGUACAGAUCUGUCGUUCUGCCCCUGAACAGGCGGUUAACCCCCUGUUCCUGUCAUUGAAAAUAAGACUUUGUUCUUAACUGACUUGACUAGUAAAAUAAAGUUUGGAAGAGUUCAGAAAUCAA